AUCAGUACUUAGAUUCCUUUGUUCUUCAAUUUCAUCAAGUUCAUCAAUUCGGUGAGACACAUUUUGCUUUUUCUGAGUAACGUUACCAACUACUUCGUUGCUCCAUCUUCAAAGUCUAGUUCGAAGAUGAUGAAACUUAAGGAGCGCUCUCCUUAACAGUGUUGAUUUCUGACCACCAUUUGUUGACCAAAUCUUUGAAACCUUCGUAAGAGUACCAGAUAUUUGCAAAAUGAAAAGGUUUCCAUUAA
rnacentral:lncRNA from 1 species